AAAUCAAUGGGAUAUAACUGGAUCAGUAGUGUGCAUUGGUGUAUGAUGAUGCACGAAGCGCGCAGUUAGUUCGUGCGGUGAGGAUCUUUAUUCAAUUAAAAACCGCGGAAGAUUGAAGCGUCAGAGGAGCCAUUAACGUGCCGUAAUAGCCCGGAUAAUCUCAGCAGAGCGUUUCAACGAUUCAACCCAUCCUCGAAAUCCCUUUCCCGAAUCAGACGUUCAGUAAUUAACGCGAAAAGGUCGCGCCCGGUUCAAAUCAGGUCUCUCAUCUCUACAUUUUGGGAUCCGCCGGAGUGGAAAUAGUGUCCAUACAUCAACAUAAACGACGAGGAGUUGGAAGAAAACACGCACGGGGAUUGAUGGAGAGAAGGGUCGAAGAAGGACCCGCAGGUCCUCCUUUUUUUCUCUCCGGGUUUUGUUUACCCAAUGCGGACACUGCCAAAUCCACGUGAAAUCUCCGGUUGCGUUGAUGUACGUCCCUGAGAAAACACAACAAAGGAGACCGAAAUCACUGUUUGCCGAAGGAGCUUGAAGAAAAAGUAAACUUGAAAGAUGUAUACCUCACUAAGAGUUCGCACUAGCGGUGGAUGCGCCGGUGAAUAAUACAAACACCACAAAUUGAAGAAUAAACACUUAUGACGCAACUGAAGGGUGGAUGUUUGAACGUACAUACUAAAAAGGGUCCAGGUACAUCAUAAAUCAUGCCUUUCUGACAUUUGGCUCUGUUAACCAUUACGUGCCGAAGUGGCCGACACAGAAACCGUUUAAAGUCCUCGACCAAACACUCGGGGAGCAGAAGAACGCGCGAAAGAAGCGUCGCAAAAAAAAAAAUGAGUGAGGAUGAAUGGAAAUGGAAUAGGACUUGGAGAUUAUCCCGGUUUGCUUUAUUUCCCUUUUCCGUCGCUCACGAUCCAUUUUUUUCUCUUGCCUCUCUUCUCUUCUUCUGGCAUUUUCGGUUAAUAAAGCGGGAUUUCGCUCCGAAAAAUGUUAUUAGCGACAGCGAAGAGAGAAAGAGAAGAUUGAUGGCUUAAACAAACAAUUUCGCUUCACAAAGCGUCACAUGGAAUGGUGGAGGAAAAGUGAGAGAAAGAGAGGAAGGAAGGAAACGGCGGAGGUUUAAAUGAGGUCCUUUUAAUGGUGUAUAUCUCCGUCAAGUUUUGGAGUGAUUGCGAUUUUCGCGGUCGUUAGAGACGGACUAAAUAUGGAUGAAAUAAUAUGAAGAAAAUGAUAAAGCGGAUUUCGAUUCACAAUUGAUCCUUAAAGAGAGAA